rnacentral:lncRNA from 1 species
UGAAGUAUCCAGGCUCCGUUUAGAAAAAACCCAAUUGGAUUGGUAAGAUAUCUAUGUAAGAUAUCUAUGAUUGCUAUUCAUAUUUUUUCUUUGUAAAGAGAUCCUAAUUGUCAAGCAAAGUUAUCUCAACUCUAAUAAAUACUUGUAUAAAAUGAAUUGAAAAAAAAAAAAAAAAAUACAAAAAGAAAUGGUAAUGGGAGCAUUUGUCCUAUAUGUACAAAUCCAAAUCGGGCGGAUCUUUACCCGGAGUAGAGCAUAAACCUAAAAAGAUGAAACAGACCCAUUCAGGAACAAGAAAAUACCAUCGCGGUUUGGAUUAAAUCUCGAUGAAAGAAUACAUCAAUGAGAAGUUAAUUCGAUAAGUUUAAUGACCCUUUCUUAUAACUUCGAAUUUUAUAAUAGAAAAUAUCAAAAAGGAGUAAAAACUCGUCUUUAUUGAAAAAUCGAAGAAAAGCCCUUUCGUUAGAAGUAAGAAAGAACCCUUGUAGAAAAAAAGAAAGAGGACUGGAAUCUCUACAUUGAUUCACAAUUUUUUUGAACCGUAUGCAUCAAAAGGCGCAUGUACGGUUCCUAAGGGAUACAAUUUUACCCUAAUCAACCGACUUUAUCGAGAAAGAUUACUUUUUUUAGGCCAAGGGAUUGGUACCGAGCUUUCGAAUCAACUUAUUGGUCUUAUGUUGUAUCUCAGUAUGGAGGAUGAGAACAAAGACCUGUAUUUGUUUGUAAACUCUCCUGGGGGCUGGGUAAUACCUGGGAUCGCCAUUUAUGAUACUAUGCAAUUUGUGCGACCAGAUAUCCAUACAAUAUGCCUAGGAUUAGCUGCUUCAAUGGGAUCUUUUAUCCUGGCCGGAGGACAACUUACCAAACGUAUAGCAUUCCCUCACGCUUGGCGCCAAUGAGGUUUUUAUUUGAGAGAAAAAAGAAGACUAUGCCUUCGCCAUAUGAAUACUAAGUAAUAAUAGCAUGGCACUUCGAAUUCGAUAUGAGAAAUUUUUGUAUUGUUUUUUUUUUUCAAAACAUUAGAUUCUGUAUCGAGAGAGUAGUAUGAGAUAAGGGGUAUUUCCGAUUUUCUAUUAUAUAUCGGGAGUUCAGUUCAGCGUCACAAACUUUUUGUUUUCAUGCCGGAGAGUUCUUAACAAUAUUUAUGUUAUGAAAGAGUACGAAAAAAAAAUAAUUUUUCCUUAUUUGAUCGGAUUAAAAAGAAACUUUGGGAUUGCUGAAUCACAGACAAAAAAAAGAAAAAAUAAACAUAUAAAGCAACGGAGCCAUCAUAGUAUUUUUGAAUUCCUCCGAAAGGAAGGAUGGCAAUUUGAUUAUUUACCCAUCUGAGUCUGAUAGAUUCUAUUUUUCUCUUUCUUCAAUGGGGGUCAAUUUUCUUGUAGAGCCGUAUGCACAAAAGAUGCCUGUACGGUUGUUCAAUUCUAUCUUUUUUCUAUUCUUUAUCUUUCUUUUUUCUUUGCUUUAUCAUGCGAGAUAGGGGAAGCUUUUAUUUUGUUAUAUCAUCAGGGUAAUGAUACAUGAACCUUAUAGUGGUUUUUAUAUGGCACAAGUAGGCGAAUUUGUCCUGGAAGCGAUAGAAAUGGCGAAACUGCGUGAAACCCUCACAAGGGUUUAUGCAGAAAAAACGGGCCAACCCGUGUGGGUUAUACACGAAGAUAUGGAAAGAGAUAUUUUUAUGUCAGCAACAGAAGCCCAAGCUUAUGGAAUUGUUGAUUUUGUAGCGGUUCAAGGAAAAGAACAUGGAUUUCACGCAGAUCUAUGAUUUGAGAUUUUAUCUUCGAAUUGAAUAUUCUAUUAAAUAGAAGUAAUUCACCAUCAUUCGGUUAGGAUCAAUCUAAACCAACCCAUCAUAUUAUGUAUACGAUUCAACAUGCCAACUAUUAAACAACUUAUUAGAAAUACAAGACAGCCAAUCAGAAAUGUCACGAAAUCCCCCGCUCUUCGGGGGUGCCCUCAGCGUCGAGGAACAUGUACUAGGGUGUAUGUGCGACUCGUUUAGAUCAUGAGCUGGCACAAAAAGCAAGAAAACUACUUUUACAGUAUCAAUGAUCAGUACCGGUGAAUGGGAUAGGAUGGAAAAAGGAACUCCAUCCAUUAUAAAAAAAAAACUCUACCAUAUCCCUCUAUUGUGUAUGAAGUUUAUGGUUUCCGUUGGUGUAAAUCCAAUCACCUGAAUUUAAGAUGAUAAGAAAUUCUCCAUUGGUAACAAAUGGUUAUCCAUUAAGCGGAGGAAAUCUUAUUUAAAAAGCAUAAAACAUAAAGAUUAGGUAGGCUCCCAAUCUGGCAAGAACGGACUAAGAGGGUCAGCUACCCAGCAAACUUUCAUAAUUAAAUACCGUUACUGUAUAGGUAGAUCUGAUUGUGAAAGACCUAUUACUGGACAAUUCAUGGGUAGAGCCAAAGCGUGUGAACUAUACAAGUUCCCAAUAACAUCAAUUAGUUGAUUAAAUAUUAAAAAUUAAAGUAUAAAGUAAAGGCUCCGGUGUAUAGAGAAGACCUC